UUAACUAUUAUAUAGUACUCAGACAUUAUAGACAUACAGAGUUUAGGUCCUCUGGCAGGCGCUCGCCAGCCGGAGCCGGCGGCCCAAAGGCAGGCCUGCCAAAGCAACAAAGGUGUGGUAGACAAAGGGUGGUAUAGAUAUGCCCCUGCUACCGACUUAACGGUCAGCGGGCUGCUAUAACAUUAAUGAUCCUUCCGCAGGUUCACCUACGGAAA
rnacentral:misc_RNA from 1 species